GACACCAACAACUUCCUCGGCACCCUCUCCCACGCCGAUGGCUCGCCCUACGGCCGUGACUUCGACGACCACCAUCCCACGGGCCGUUUCUCCAACAGCCGUAUCAUCGUCGACUACCUCGAUGAGAUUUUGCUGCUGAAUUUGGCUUGGAAGGAUGAUUCUUGUUCAGAUAUUCCUUUUGGUUCCGGUGAUUUUGGUCGAAGGGGCAGCACAUUUCGCUGAAAAGCAGUAGAUCCAACAGGUUCACUGACCCGUUCGAGCUGUUCGCAGUGAGCCUUGGGGAGGAAGCAGCGACGGAUCUAGUCUUGAGGUCGGUGUUCUACGUGCUCAUUAGGAGUAAUGACUUCCUGCGUUCAAUCUUGCCCUAACCCUAAUUUCUGGAUCCUAAGAAAAAUCAAGAUAAAGUAGACAAAAAAUAUGUUGUUAUGAUUCAUCACUUCCGGGGUAAAGACACAGUAUAAAGGUGUAACUAAUCAAACUUCAUGUAAAUAAUUUACUUUACAAAACACCGAGCUUGCAGCCCUUCACAGAGAAGAAAAAUUGAAAUCAUGAAACAUAUUAAUAUCAAG